rnacentral:misc_RNA from 1 species
AAAGUCGUAACAAGGUUUCCGUAGGUGAACCUGCGGAAGGAUCAUUAUCGAGUUAGGGUUCCUCUCACGGGCCCGACCUCCCCACCCUGUGUCUACCACACCUUGUCGUUGCUUCGGCGGACCGGUCCUUCGACCGCCGGGGGUGCUGUGGCCCCCUGGAGCGCGUCCGCCGAUGGCCCAACCACACACAACUCUUGGUACCAAACCCUGUCGUCUGAAGCACUUGAUAUAUAAUCAACACAAAACUUUCAACAACGGAUCUCUUGGUUCUG